rnacentral:lncRNA from 1 species
CAGAGAGAGACAUAAUAAAUCAGUUGAUAUUCGUUGUACCUCUACCAAACAGGGGAGAGUAAAGGAAGUAUGGAUCACUUAUGGUGCUGCUCAGUCAAAACUUCAAAAAAUACAUUCGAUUCCCGAAAUUCAAACAAAAUAAGAUUAAUCUGGAGACGCUGGAAUCAAAAGGAUAUAAAUACACAAAUCAACUUGAAUCCAAACCUGCAUGAAGUACAACGCAGUCACUCAACUAUAGAGCGAGCUAAAACUCUCCCAAUCUCCGGUUCGACAUAUAUGGUUAAUAAAAUGAACCCUUCCAAAUCUGGAAUUAGUCAUGGUAGAUCACAGCCCAUUUGCACUGAAGGGAUGCGAUUUUCACAAGAGAAAAAGUUUACCAUGAAUCAAAGUGGUCUUUCAAGAGCAUUCAACUUCAAGUCCAGUAAAAAUAAUCUCGAGCCAGCACAACUAAAUCUAAAUUUUCUUGGGCAGAUAUAUAAAAAUUAAUUUUAUGUUCAUUUUGUGAAUAAUUGCGUUUAUUUAUGUAGUUAUAUAUGAGGUUUACAAGUUGUUAUUUGUCCGUUCAAUAACGUCUUAUAAAGUUAUUUGAACUCCAA